UGAUAUCAUUAAAAUCUCCUACAACCCCCCAGGGGCCAGAGAUUCUAUUAGAGAUGUCCCUAAGCUCAUUCCAGAGAGGAAUUCUGUGGAGCUCCUCACAUUUAGCAUAGAUAACCGAUAUGUGAAAGUUAACAGGCUCGUGUUGAUGCGAAAUAUGGAUAAACACAUGUUGUUCUCGAUCUUCAAUAAUGUCGAUAGUGUAAUCUUUAGACCAAAAAAUCCAAAUCUUGUUGGAGCAGUUAUGAAAACAGAAAGUGUACCCUAAUCUCCUUUUGAAUUUGUCAAUUUUCC
rnacentral:lncRNA from 1 species